rnacentral:rRNA from 1 species
GAUGAACGCUAGCGGCAGGCCUAAUACAUGCAAGUCGUACGGCAACACAGUUGCGAGCAAUCGCAACCGGUGGCGAGUGGCGCACGGGUGAGUAACGCGUAUGUAACCUACCCUUCUCCGGGACAUAACUCCGCGAAAGCGGUGCUAAUAUCCCAUACCAACUCAUCAAGACAUCUUCUUGAGUUGAAAGCAGCAAUGCGGUGAAGGAUGGGCAUGCGUCCCAUUAGCUGGUUGGUGAGGUAAUGGCCCACCAAGGCUACGAUGGGUAGGGGUUCUGAGAGGAAAGCCCCCCACACUGGUACUGAGACACGGACCAGACUCCUACGGGAGGCAGCAGUAAGGAAUAUUGGGCAAUGGUCGAAAAGACUGACCCAGCCAUGCCGCGUGCAGGAUGAAGGCCCUAUGGGUUGUAAACUGCUUUUAGCCGGGAAUAAACACCCGUUUUAAACGGGCCCGAAGGUACCGGCUGAAUAAGCAUCGGCUAACUCCGUGCCAGCAGCCG